rnacentral:rRNA from 1 species
AACGAACGCUGGCGGCAUGCCUAACACAUGCAAGUCGAACGAGACCUUCGGGUCUAGUGGCGCACGGGUGCGUAACGCGUGGGAACCUGCCCUUAGGUUCGGAAUAACUCCCCGAAAGGGGUGCUAAUACCGGAUAAUGUCUUCGGACCAAAGAUUUAUCGCCUUUGGAUGGGCCCGCGUUGGAUUAGCUAGUUGGUAGGGUAAAAGCCUACCAAGGCGACGAUCCAUAGCUGGUCUGAGAGGAUGAUCAGCCACACUGGGACUGAGACACGGCCCAGACUCCUCCGGGAGGCAGCAGUGGAGAAUAUUGGACAUGGGGCGAAAGCCUGAUCCAGCAAUGCCGCGUGAGUGAUGAAGGCCUUAGGGUUGUAAAGCUCUUUUACCCGGGAUGAUAAUGACAGUACCGGGAGAAUAAGCUCCGGCUAACUCCGUG